CAGUAGCCACGGGAACACGUAGGGGGCAAGCGUUAUCCGGAAUAACUGGGCGUAAAGGGUGCGCAGGUGGUUUAACAAGUUAGUGGUGAAAGGCAUAGGCUCAACCAAUGUAAGCCAUUAAAACUGUCUAACUUGAGUGCAGAAGAGGAAAGUGGAAUUCCUAGUGUAGCGGUGAAAUGCGUAGAUAUUAGGAGGAAUACCAGUGGCGAAGGCGGCUUUCUGGACGAAAACUGACGCUGAGGCGCGAAAGCCAGGGGAGCGAACGGGAUUAGAUACCCCUGUAGUCCCUGUCUCUUAUACA
rnacentral:rRNA from 1 species